rnacentral:rRNA from 1 species
UUAAACAGUUACUUGGAUAACUGUGGUAAUUCUAGAGCUAAUACAUGCAAACAAGUCCCGACCAGAGAUGGGAGGGACGCUUUUAUUAGAUCAAAACCGAUCGGCGUCCGGCUCCGGCCGGCGCCGUCUCUUUUGGUGACUCUGGAUAACUUUUAGCCGAUCGCACGGUCACAGUACCGGCGACGCAUCUUUCAAAUGUCUGACUUAUCAACUGUCGAUGGUAGGCUCUGCGCCUACCAUGGUUGUAACGGGUAACGGGGAAUCAGGGUUCGAUUCCGGAGAGGGAGCCUGAGAAACGGCUACCACAUCCAAGGAAGGCAGCAGGCGCGCAAAUUACCCACUCCCGGCACGGGGAGGUAGUGACGAAAAAUAACGAUACGGGACUCAUCCGAGGCCCCGUAAUCGGAAUGAGUACACUUUAAAUACUUUAACGAGUACCAAUUGGAGGGCAAGUCUGGUGCCAGCAGCCGCGGUAAUUCCAGCUCCAAUAGCGUAUAUUAAAGUUGUUGCGGUUAAAAAGCUCGUAGUUGGAUCUGUGUGCCACGCUGUCGGUUCACCGCCUGUCGGUGUCAACUGGCAUGUCUGUGGGACGUCCUGCCGGUGGCGGUACGGGCUGCCGGCGCUGCGUAGGGGCUCGUCCCCGAAGCACGCCGGCGUGUCCCGGUCCGCCGAUCCAAUCCCGCCGCGGUGCUCUUCACUGAGUGUCGAGGUGGGCCGGCACGUUUACUUUGAACAAAUUAGAGUGCUCAAAUCAGGUCGUAUUUAGGCCUGAAU